CACAGGUGUUUGCCAUCUCAACAGGUGUUUCCUUACCUCCUGUUUUCUGAAAGCCUCAGGGUGAUUUGGGAAUACAGGUUUAACCUGACUGACACACAGCUUUUUGGAAAAGCUUAUGAAUAAUCUAUUAUUUAACAUCUGCAUCUGCCAUAUCUUCACUAGCAAGCUUGGGAGAACACAGCAGAAGGAAUGAAAACCUAUUCUAAUACAAAUCAGAAAUCAAUCCUAUUGUCGCUUUAUUUCACGUAAUUAUCUUUUAGUGAAUAGAUUAAACUGAGUGUUAUAUUUUACUUUGAUGAUGAAGGACCUCAUUGAUUUGUCUGUGACAUCAGUCGAUGUAUGUGUAUAGACAAGGGAAUAUCCUAUCUCAAGGCAAAGGAAACCCUUUAGGUAAUUAAACACAUCCUAUCUUAGAUCAUUUUGCUUCUUCACUCAUUGAUUUUGAAUCAACAGUAAGAUGGGUUUUUUCUUUUACAUUAAAGGAAUUAAUUUGUUAUCAGAGUUCCUGUUGUGGCUCAGCAGGUUAAGAACCCAACAUAAUAUCCAUGAGGAUGUGGGUUCAAUCUCUGGUUGCUCAGUGGGUUAAGAAUCUGGUGUUGCCCACAAAGCUGUGGCAUAGGUUGCAGAUGUGGCUCGGAUCCUGUGUGGCUGUGGCAUAGGUUGGCAGCUGCAGCUCCGAUUACAUCCCUAGCCUGGGAACCUCCAUAUGCCACAGGUGCAGCUGCAAAAAGAAAAGAAAAGAAAAGAAAGAAAAAAAAUUAAUUUGUUAUAUAUAUAUUAUUUAACACUUGGAGGAAGAAAGUGAAAUGAUGGGAAAUAAUAUUUUUGAUGAAUAUUAAUCUUUUAUAUAUUUGGUUUUUACCAUAUGUAAUUUUAAAAAGGAACUAGAAGGUUUAGGUCAAUAAUAAGAACAGAUAAAUGAAUUCAUGUAAAUGUAAUAGCCUAGAUUUUCUAUACUUCUAAAAAGAUGAUUUGAAGUUUAUCCUACUGGCUUUUAGUUUUAGGACCCCAAAUCUUGUUGAUAACUAUUUUAAGGUAAAUAAAUAUUGUAACAGAGUUACCUGAAAAAUGUGCAUCUUUUUUAUGUGAUGCAAGUAAGAAAGUGCUGAAUUGUGACAUUUGUUACCAUCACAUUUCCUUCAGGAACUUUCCUCUGCAGUGGAUUUGUGGUUAGUGUUUGCUGCUGCACACUGUUAACGGUUAUUGGUGACGAUGACAAAUUUGAUUGUGGUCUGGAAGUGUAUCACUCUUUAUUAUGCUUUUAUAUUUUACUAGUGAAUGUGCUAGUAAUAAACAUUUUAUUUUCUCUUCUCUUUGACUUUCUUUGUCUUGAUCUGGAUCCUUUUUUUUUCCGGUCUUUUUAGGGCUGUAUCCUUGGCCUACAGCCACAGCAAUGCCAGAUCUAAGCUGUGUCUGUGACCUACACCACAACUCACAGCAAUGCCGGAUCCUUAACCCACUGAGUGAGGCCAGGGAUUGAACCAGCAUCCUCAUGGAUAUUAGUUGGGUUCGUUACUUCUAAGCCAUGACAGGAACUCCUGGAUUCUUUAUAUGUGACUUGAGAACUGUAUUCACUUCUCUGAACCUUGAUAUUUCAUCUGUAGAGUGACAACUCUACUAAAUGACCCCUGAGGUCUCUAGCUCUGACACAGUGACCCCAGGAAGUGCGUGACCUCACGUGUGUGCGCAAGUCUGUAUUUGCUAUUUCCCCAGUGACCGGAGUUAAAUUCUCCUCGUCCAAAGUUUGUAGAGAUUGAGAAACCAAAUCACUGGUCUUGUUCUUUCUAAAUAGACAAGUUUUGAGACUAAAAGUUAGUAUUAAGAACUGGUCAUUGGUUUAUGCUGGUUUGAUUUUUUAAAUUUACUUACGCAUUAGUGAUUAAGAACUCGUGUUUUUGGGUGUGAGCUUUGAAGCACCUCCUCACUCAGUACCUAUUUGGUCUUGGGCAUCCAGUUUACCUUCCUUGUGAACUAAUAGAUAAUGGGAUCUACUUCUCAAUGUUAUCUUGAAGAUCAGUGAGACAACUGUGCCAGGCACCUGGCAACAGCUUAGUUGGCUGUUCAAAUUGUGACCAUGACUUUCUCCUUGUUCACUGUCUGUCUUAUUAGCAAGUCUGUGAGAGUUUCCUUCCUUCCAUCCAGUUUGUCAGAGUUCUCUGAAUCUCCGUGGACUGGUUUGGCUAUGGAAACACCUUAGACACUGUUUUCUCUUCUAGAAUUUGCGAGUGGGCCUGGUGCCCUGGCAUCGACAUUCGUUCAGUGCUGGCCAUAGGCUCGCACUUGUCCCGUCAUUGUUGUUGGUGUUGCCUGCCCAUUUAUGUAUAUGGUCUUUUUGAAAAGAAGACAUGAUGUUUCAAACAACAAGUUGAUUUUUAUCUUCUUGCCUGUGUUUGCUUCACCUUCUGUGGACAGCUGGGGUUCGUGUUGUGUACCCCAACUAUUCAGAGAGAACUGAGUGGUUGUUGGCGUGUUGAUGGUUUCUCCUCUAAUCCUGGAUUCUCCUCAUUGCCAACACUGAGGUAUCUUGAUGACGAAGGAACUUUUCUCUCUGUGCAUAGUGCAAGCUUCUCUGUGGUGGAUUUCAGCUCUAUCUCUUGGAGUUUAAAGACUCUGUGUUUCCAUGACAUACUGUUUAUUGUCUGAGUAAUUCCUUUUGAUGUGUGCUAGUGUGGAAUCACGGUAUAAACUGGCAAGUUUAUCUCUUAACGUGAUUCCUUGAUUUGGGGGAAACCACCUGACUGUGUCAGUGCAUUUGUCUUCCCCGCUUUUUUAAUCACGGGCCCGUUUGUCUUGUGCAGUCAAAUCCUUGUAAUAACCUGUGGGUUGGAUGGCACCCAAGGCCCCAGGGCUGGGCAGGUGGGGGAUGAGCACUCAAAUCUAGCAGCUUGGCCCCAGAGCCAGGCUCCAUCCUGCUUGGCCACCUCCUCAAGGCCCUCGGAUGCCACCAGAAACCCCCUGUGGGAUAAAGAGGCCUCGGGAGUUGGGCUGAGGAGCAGAUGUGAGUGUGGGUGGUGGUGAUUCGCCUCAGUCCUCCAUUCCUCCCAUUAUGCCUGGCAUGUCCGUUAAGAUUACCUAGGGUCAGGAGUUAAGAAAGCAGAACCCCCAGUUCCAGCCACGCACAGUAAGUGGUCACUGUACCCAGCCACUCAGUGUUACCCUGUCGGGUAUGUGACACUGCCCGGGCGAGGUCACAGGGGCACCCACAAAGGAAGUGUGUCUCUGCAUCUGAAGAUGCUCCCUUUUGGCUGUGGCCCCUCAGGCACCUCUCUGUCUCCUCUUCUCAGGACAGGUGACAGCAGUGACUUAAAUGUCCACACAUCCUCAUCACCACUGGCGUUUCUUCCUCCUCCUCCCACCCUGGGUAGAAAGUGCUCCCUGGGGGCAUUCAGGCUCGUCACUUUCUCCAGGCAGCCCACCUCAGUGCAGUUCUCUUAGACACGGACGCACUUGUUAAAAUCAGAUUUCUGAUUCACAGGAAGAUCAUGUUUUCUCACAGAUGACAGGGCACACUUGGCCUAGUUAAUGAGAAAAUGGUGAAGGAAAACCAUGAGCAGUUAUUUCAAACCUGGGUCACAUUCCAAAGGGCUGGCGCCUGUGGCGGCCACAGCUUCGGUCAGGGUCAUGGGGCCUUUCUGUGGGACACAUGGGCACAGCAGUGUUUGGUUUCUCAUUGAGAAAUCUGAAAAUGUCUUGUUUUGUUAUAUUACUAAUAAUGUUAGUCUAAGGUUUGAAGCCUGAGGUUUGGGAAAG
rnacentral:lncRNA from 1 species